rnacentral:rRNA from 1 species
UACAGAGGGUGCGAGCGUUAAUCGGAAUUACUGGGCGUAAAGCGUGCGUAGACGGUUAUGUAAGUCGGAUGUGAAAGCCCCGGGCUCAACCUGGGAAUGGCAUUCGAGACUGCAUAGCUAGGAUGCGGAAGAGGGCAGUGGAAUUUCCGGUGUAGCGGUGAAAUGCGUAGAUAUCGGAAGGAACAUCAGUGGCGAAAGCGACUGCCUGGUCCAGCAUCGACGUUCAGGCACGAAAGCGUGGGGAGCAAACAGG